rnacentral:rRNA from 1 species
CCAACCCUGGUUAAGGAACUCGGCAAAUUGACACCGUAACUUCGGGAGAAGGUGUGCCGCUGGCGGUUAGUGACUUCGCGUCACGAAGCUGUCGGUGGUCGCAGUGAAAUGGCGGUUGUGACUGUUUACUAAAAACACAGGACUCUGCGAAGUCGUAAGACGACGUAUAGGGUCUGAUGCCUGCCCGGUGCUGGAAGGUUAAGGGGAUAUGUCAGCGCAAGCGAAGCAUUGAACCGAAGCCCCAGUAAACGGCGGCCGUAACAAUAACGGUCCUAAGGUAGCGAAAUUCCUUGUCGGGUAAGUUCCGACCUGCACGAGGGCAUAACAACAUCCGCACUGUCUCGACCAGGGACUCAGCGAAAUUACAUUGGGGGUGAAGAUGCCCUCUACCCGCGGAAAGACGGAAAGACCCCAUGAACCUUUACUGCAACUUGGCAGUGAUUUUCGGGUUGUUCUGCGUAGGAUAGGUGGGAGGCUUUGAAGCCGGGCUUCCGGGUUCGGCAGAGCCAACGUUGAAAUACCACCCUGAAUAAUCUGGAAAUCUAACCUGCGCCCAUGAUCUGGGCGAGGGACACUGCCUGGUGGGCAGUUUGACUGGGGCGGUCGCCUCCUAAAUUGUAACGGAGGCGUGCGACGGUUCCCUCAGGCUGAUUGGAAACCAGCCGUAGAGUGCAAACGCAUAAGGGAGCUUUACUGCGAGACUGACAAGUCGAACAGUUGCGAAAGCAGGUGUUAGUGAUCCGGUGGUACCACAUGGAAGGGCCAUCGCUCAUCGGAUAAAAGGUACUCUGGGGAUAACAGGCUGAUCGCGCCUGAGAGUUCACAUCGGCGGCGCGGUUUGGCACCUCGAUGUCGGCUCAUCGCAUCCUGGGGCUGGAGCAGGUCCCAAGGGUUUGGCUGUUCGCCAAUUAAAGCGGUACGCGAGCUGGGUUUAAAACGUCGUGAGACAGUUUGGUCCCUAUCUUCCGUGGGCGCAGGACACUUGAGAGGAGCUAUCCAUAGUACGAGAGGACCUGGAUGGACGAGCCUCUGGUGCUCCGGUUGUCACGCCAGUGGCAUAGCCGGGUAGCCAUGUUCGGAACAGAUAACCGCUGAAGGCAUAUAAGCGGGAAGCUGGCCUCAAGACUAGGUGUCCCUGACGCAAGUCACUAAAGGCCCCUCGAAGACUACGAGGUUGAUAGGCUCGGUGUGGAAGCGCUGCGAGGCGUGGAGCUAACGAGUACUAAUAGGCCGUGCGACUUGACCU